GGACGAACGCUGGCGGCGUGCCUAACACAUGCAAGUCGAGCGGAGGUAUUCAAGGAGCAAUCUGCGGAUACCUUAGCGGCGGACGGGUGAGUAACGCGUGAGCAACCUGCCUUUCACAGGGGGAUAAGGCGGCGAAAGCCGCUCUAAUACCGCAUGAGACCCCGGUGGUGAUACCACAGCGGUCAAAGGAGCAAUCCGGUGAGAGAUGGGCUCGCGUCCGAUUAGGUAGUUGGUGUGGUAAAGGCUCACCAAGCCAAUGAUCGGUAGCCGGCCUGAGAGGGUGAACGGCCACAUUGGAACUGAGAGACGGUCCAAACUCCUACGGGAGGCAGCAGUGGGGAAUAUUGGGCAAUGGGGGAAACCCUGACCCAGCAACGCCGCGUGAGGGAAGAAGGUUUUCGGAUUGUAAACCUCUGUUCUUGGGGAAGAGAGGAAGACGGUACCCAAGGAGGAAGCCCCGGCUAACUACGUGCCAGCAGCCGCGGUAAUACGUAGGGGGCGAGCGUUGUCCGGAAUGAUUGGGCGUAAAGGGCGCGUAGGCGGCUGUGUAAGUCAGUAGUGGAAGUCCAGCUUUUAAGGUUGGAAGUGCUAUUGAAACUGUGCAGCUUGAGUGCAGGAGAGGUUAUCGGAAUUCCCGGUGUAGCGGUGAAAUGCGUAGAGAUCGGGAGGAACACCAGUGGCGAAGGCGGGUAACUGGACUGCAACUGACGCUGAGGCGCGAAAGUGUGGGGGAGCAAACAGGAUUAGAUACCCUGGUAGUCCACACUGUAAACGAUGAAUGCUAGGUGUAGGGGGUAUCGACCNNNUCUGUGCCGGAGUAAACACAAUAAGCAUUCCGCCUGGGGAGUACGGUCGCAAGAUUAAAACUCAAAGGAAUUGACGGGGGCCCGCACAAGCAGCGGAGCAUGUGGUUUAAUUCGAAGCAACGCGAAGAACCUUACCAGGUCUUGACAUCCAGGUAAAGCUGCAGAGAUGCAGUGUGUGCUUGCACAAUCUGAGACAGGUGGUGCAUGGUUGUCGUCAGCUCGUGUCGUGAGAUGUUGGGUUAAGUCCCGCAACGAGCGCAACCCUUGCCGAUAGUUACUAACAGGUGAAGCUGAGGACUCUAUUGGGACCGCCGGGGACAACUCGGAGGAAGGUGGGGACGACGUCAAAUCAUCAUGCCCCUUAUGACCUGGGCUACACACGUGCUACAAUGGCCGAGACAGAGAGCAGCGAGGGCGCAAGCCGGAGCGAAUCUCAAAAAAGCGGUCACAGUUCGGAUUGCAGUCUGCAACUCGACUGCAUGAAGUCGGAAUCGCUAGUAAUCGCAGAUCAGCCAAGCUGCGGUGAAUACGUUCCCGGGCCU
rnacentral:rRNA from 1 species